rnacentral:rRNA from 1 species
UACAGAGGUCCCAAGCGUUUGUUCGGAUUCACUGGGCGUAAAGGGUGCGUAGGUGGCGAGGUAAGUCGGAUGUGAAAGCUCGGAGCUCAACUCCGAAAUGGCAUUGGAAACUACCUUGCUCGAGGGUUGGAGGGGGGACUGGAAUUCUCGGUGUAGCAGUGAAAUGCGUAGAUAUCGAGAGGAACACCAGUGGCGAAGGCGAGUCCCUGGACAACUCCUGACACUGAGGCACGAAAGCUAGGGGAGCAAACAGG